GCCUACGGGGGGCAGCAGUGAGGAAUAUUGGUCAAUGGGCUUACGCCUGAACCAGCCAAGUCGCGUGAGGGAAGACUGCCCUAUGGGUUGUAAACCUCUUUUGUCGGGGAGCAAAGCGAACCACGUGUGGUUCAUUGAGAGUACCCGAAGAAAAAGCAUCGGCUAACUCCGUGCCAGCAGCCGCGGUAAUACGGAGGAUGCGAGCGUUAUCCGGAUUUAUUGGGUUUAAAGGGUGCGCAGGCGGAGGUGCAAGUCAGCGGUCAAAUUGCGGGGCUCAACCCCGUACUGCCGUUGAAACUGCAUCC
rnacentral:rRNA from 1 species